GGCCUCGUAGCUCAAUUGGGUACAGCGUUGCCUAUAUUAAAACCUUCCCCUUGUUGGCGUGGGUUCGAAUCCCACCGAGGCCG
rnacentral:tRNA from 1 species